AGGAAAGUCCUCUCUGAGGAGCUAACAAGACUGGAACAAGAACUUGUCAAGAGCAUUCCAUGUAGAGGGAUCAGCAACUGCAAAAGCUCAGCCUCACGGAAGACUGCGGUAAUUAUGAUCAUUAUUUAUUAUGUGCUGAGCCUAUGCCAGGGAGUGUGGUAAGAGCAUCACAUGGAUCAGGUCACUGAACACCUGUAACACCGCAUGAGUGCUUUCAAGGUCAGAUGGAGCAGUUUUGAUUUCAGGCAAUGUGGAGACGUUGAAGGUUUUGAAGGAAGAAAAAUAAGCUCUAAGUAGUCUUUCAGCAAGAUGAAGCUGACUAUAGAGAAGACCGUGUAUCAGAACCAGGGUCGGCAAGCUACAGCCCACGACCAAAUCUAGCUUACCAUCUGCUUAGUCUGCAAGCUAAGAAUGGUUUUCACAUUUUUAGAUGAUUGGGGGAAAAAAAAAUCAAAAGAAUAGUAUUUCAUGACAUGUGAAAGUUAUAUGAAAUUCAAAUCUCAGAGUUCAUAAAUAAAACUUUAUUGGAACAGAGCCAGGUUCAUUUGUUUACUUACU
rnacentral:lncRNA from 1 species